GAAAUGCGAUAAGUAGUGUGAAUUGCAGAAUUCAGUGAAUCAUCGAAUCUUUGAACGCACAUUGCGCCCUUUGGUAUUCCAAAGGGCAUGCCUGAUCGAGCGUCAUUUGUACCCUCAAGCUUUGCUUGGUAUUGGGCGUCUUGUCUCUAGCUUUGCUGGAGACUCGCCUUAAAGUAAUUGGCAGCCGGCCUACUGGUUUCGGAGCGCAGCACAAGUCGCACUCUCUAUCAGCAAAGGUCUAGCAUCCAUUAAGCCUUUUUUCAACUUUUGACCUCGGAUCAGGUAGGGAUACCCGCUGAACUUAAGC
rnacentral:misc_RNA from 1 species